GAUGAACGCUGGCGGCGUGCCUAAUACAUGCAAGUCGAGCGAACAGACGAGGAGCUUGCUCCUCUGACGUUAGCGGCGGACGGGUGAGUAACACGUGGAUAACCUACCUAUAAGACUGGGAUAACUUCGGGAAACCGGAGCUAAUACCGUAUAAUAUAUUGAACCGCAUGGUUCAAUAGUGAAAGACGGUUUUGCUGUCACUUAUAGAUGGAUCCGCGCCGCAUUAGCUAGUUGGUAAGGUAACGGCUUACCAAGGCAACGAUGCGUAGCCGACCUGAGAGGGUGAUCGGCCACACUGGAACUGAGACACGGUCCAGACUCCUACGGGAGGCAGCAGUUGGGAAUCUUCCGCAAUGGGCGAAAGCCUGACGGAGCAACGCCGCGUGAGUGAUGAAGGUCUUCGGAUCGUAAAACUCUGUUAUUAGGGAAGAACAAAUGUGUAAGUAACUAUGCACGUCUUGACGGUACCUAAUCAGAAAGCCACGGCUAACUACGUG
rnacentral:rRNA from 1 species